UUUGAAGAGAGAGUUCAAGAGUACGUGAAACUGCUGAGAGGCAAACUGGUGGGCCCUCGAAAUCCCGUCUGCGGGGAGAUUCAGUCGGGUGUCGGCGGCCGUCUCACAAUGGGUCUGUAGCAACCGAAGAUCGGGGCACAUUCCGGGAGACGAGUACCGCUGGAACCCGACGCAUUUCCCGCCCGCACGAGAGGACGCCGCAGCCGGUCGGGUAGCUGCGCGUGUCGGCCAUGAGGACGUUGCAACGGCAGGUGACCGGCGGCCCUAGGCCAUUCUUAUGGCACUAACGGUCGACGGUUGAUUAGCCGGCUCGUCCGUGGCGCGACACCCGACCGAGGUCGAGAAGAGAAGUCCGUGGAGGAAUCCCGGACGUAUCCACUACUUUCAAACUGAUAGAGCGAGCCGUCGGACAGGCGCGUUCCUGCGUGGUCGGGCAGUCACCGCACUGGUCGAUCUGGUGGGAGCGCGUCGCUGGUUUCCGAGUCAGGAUCUCGCGGAGGAUGGAAGGCUGGCGGCGAGUAGGUCGGUAACCCACCCGACCCGUCUUGAAACACGGACCAAGGAGUCUAACAUGUGCGCGAGUCGCAGGGUCUUGAAUAGGCCCAGAGGCGCAAUGAAAGUGAAGGCCGCCGCUUCGACCCCUUCAUCGGGGAAGAAGGAGUGGCCCGGUCGGGACUCGCACGUGACACGGCACGUGACGAAGCACCGACGACCCGCCCUGUUCCAUAUUUAUAAGGAACUCAAACGGAGUUUGAGCGCACACGUUGGGACCCGAAAGAUGGUGAACUAUGCCUGGGCAGGACGAAGCCAGAGGAAACUCUGGUGGAGGUCCGCAGCGGUUCUGA
rnacentral:rRNA from 1 species